rnacentral:rRNA from 1 species
AGUGAACGCUGGCGGUAGGCCUAACACAUGCAAGUCGAACGGCAGCACAGUAAGAGCUUGCUCUUACGGGUGGCGAGUGGCGGACGGGUGAGGAAUACAUCGGAAUCUACUUUUUCGUGGGGGAUAACGUAGGGACACUUACGCUAAUACCGCAUACGACCUACGGGUGAAAGCAGGGGAUCUUCGGACCUUGCGCGAUUGAAUGAGCCGAUGUCGGAUUAGCUAGUUGGCGGGGUAAAGGUCCACCAAGGCGACGAUCCGUAGCUGGUCUGAGAGGAUGAUCAGGCCCACUGGAACUGAGACACGGUCCAGACUCCUAAGGGAGGCAGCAGUCGGGAAUAUUGGACAAUGGGCGCAAGCCUGAUCCAGCCAUACCGCGUGGGUGAAGAAGGCCUUCGGAUUGUAAAGCCCUUUUGUUGGGAAAGAAAAGCAGCAGGUUAAUACCCCGCUGUUCUGACGGUACCCAAAGAAUAAGCACCGGCUAACUUCGUG